AGAGUGUGUAAUAUAGAUGACUUUUAGUUUUUUAAAAAAAUGAAUUUUGUUGAAAGUUUCAGGGAAAGUCUAUUAGAAAUAAAAGUUGGCUAGUUGAAUUUCUUAUGCUGUUUACUAAAAUUUGUUGCUGAUUUUGAGCAAAGUAGGGCUUGACAGACAAUAUAACAAGAUACCAUAAUCUCAAGUUUUGUACUUUUUUAGAAGGACAUAGAUAUGAGGGACAGUGUAACUUUGUUCUCAAUUAUAUUUUUUAGGAAUUUGGUGGGGGAUCAAGUUGUUCUUUUGCUUGGACUUAUCUUUUUGCUUUCCUUUUAAAAAAUAUAUACACACAACAGCAUAAUUACCAUCCAAGAAAUAUAAUCUUCCUGGAACAUCUCAUGUCUUGGUCAAAUUCCUAUGCUACAUGUUCUACAUGUUCCUCCAAGGAAUUUUUGUUUCUUAUUGGUCUAUGGGAGAUGAUGCCACUAGAUAGGAUUUGACACAAUCGUGUUUACACUGGCAAUCUCCAUAUCUGGGCACUCUGACUGUCCCUGGAUGCCCUGGUUGCCUCUUGGAGUAUGUUCCUAAGAAAAUAUCAUGAUUUAUUCAUUGCAAUGGUGGGUUGCCCUGAUACUUUUGGAUACUACACAUUAAUCCAAGAAGGCCAGCAAGGUCCAGUGACUUGGAAAAACUUAAGUGAUGAAGGGUUAAAAGGAAGAGGAGAGAAAAGGUAAUCCUCAUCUCAGGUAGAAGAAAUCAGAACUGAGUGAGGACAGAAAAUAGAGCUCUGAAAGCCAGAAUAGGUUGAUUCCAAGUAUAUUUGCAGAGCACUGAGUUUCAAUGGGUUGAAACAAGUGGUUAAAAUCAUUACCACAUAAUUUCAGCCUGAGUGAAUCACAAGUUGAUUAGGGAGUGUCAGGAGUUCACACUUUGUCCAGCUCAACCUGAUCCUCUAGAAGCUGAGGCCCCUUUAUAGGGCAGCUUGCAAUGCACUGUGCCCACUAUAAAAGAUGUAUAGCUAUGGGUAGGGUUUGUUUUGCCUCUUUGGUCUCAGGUAUCCUUGCUGAGUUGAGCCUCUGUAAUAGGAGGUCAUAGCUUAGGUAUGUUCCUGGGGUAUGGCCAUAUAAAAUAUCAGUGUAAGAUAUCUUUACAUUCAGCUUCUAUGAUGUAAAUGGGACCAAAAUAGCCCAAAGAGUGAACUAAGAUGUUUGUUCAGUGUAUCCUCUGCUACUUGAUUACUGUCUUCUUCUGUACCCCCUUUCUUUUCAGGACCUCUGUUCUGUUUUCUAAUCUUUCUCUGCUGUCAACAAAAAGGCUUCUGAAAAUAUUGCUGCACAUUCAGACCAACGCACUAUUAACUCUCCUGUGUAAUUUGCAUUGUAUCUUGUGGAAACAGAUGAAACUUCGUCACUAAGUGUUAUGUUUAGCGAUCAGAUCUAUUAGAAACAAUAUUUUUUUAGUUGUAUCAAAUAGCUCUUUGCAAGAUGGUUGCUGAUUAAGACAAUCUCCCACUCUCAACCAAGUGUCCUAAUUUGACACAAGAAGUCUGGGUCUUAUGCAUGCUUGUGAAACUGCUUCAAGAAAUUAGAAAUUCCCUCAUACUAUUGGGUUUUCAUUAAAGUUCUAAAUUAAGAACAAAGUAUUUGUCAUUUGGGAAGUCAGAGUAAAAAUACGAUUUUUGACAGUAGAUCUUAAAAAACAUUUUCAUACAAGCACUGAGAUGAGAUAAAGAUAUUUCAAAUCACAAAGAUUUAAACAGUUAUUUUAAGGGAACAGACUUAUUUUUGUGUGGCCAUAUGAAAAUGUUAGUAAUUUUAAUGCAAUGCAUUUUUUAUUUUGAAUUUUGGCUAUAUUAAUUUGAUUAAUGACUAGUAGUUUUUAAGAUAUGGGUCUAUUAAAUUUAAAUAAGUCUCAUACAUUCCUUAAUUUAAAUUGUCUACAAUUUUGAGGUCCCCAAAUUCUGCAUCUACAAUCUUUAAUUUAGAAAUGAAUGACUCUCUUGGACUUUCAAACAAUAGCUAAUAAGACAGGUUAUUUUUAAGGGGCACAUGGGGAAGUUUGACUGUUUCUUUUACCUUAGUUAUUUUAGGAUAGCUGAGGAUAUGGUGAAACAUAAAAGAGAUAACAGAGUAUUUUACUGAUGGCCUCUCCUGCUUUUCCCUCCCCUCCCUUCACUUGAAUACUGUCUCUCCUAUGUUUGUGCUCCAAGACUCUCAAAGGUUAUAGCCUAUUCCUUUGCUACCUCCUUCCAUCUAUACUAUCAUUCUUAAAAAAUUGCUGUUCUUGUAUUCAUGUUGCAUCAUAGUAUCAGUGUUAAAGAGAUGGGCUUUUGUAGCAAUUAAGAAUUUGGAGUCAUUGAAAGUACUAUAGCAAUGGUUUUUUAACUUAUAUUUCUAUUCCUAAUCUCUCUCCUGGGUUCUACAUUUUGAUUUCCAAUUACUGUCUAUGUAUUUCCAAAUGAGAUAAGAAAGGGAGGAGGAGGAGGAGGUCGACCAUGACGACGACAACGACCACCACGAAAAAGAAUGAGCAACCCUUUCAGGAUUCAGUCUAAGUACUACAUCUAUGUCUAUAUCUUAAAGAGGUCAAAGAAAGAGGAAAGGAGCUAUAUCUAAAGACUCUAAAGUUGCAGAAGAAUUCUUCAAGCAAGAGGAGAUGAGAAGAGAAGGAAAGAUCCGAAGUAGUAGUAAUUAUAUAUUGCAUGCAAUAGUAACAUAACACUAACAUAACAGUAACACUGACAUUACACUAGCAAAACAACAUGACAUAGCAAAAGUAACAACAUAAUAAAAUAUAAACAUGGUUAUGUUACAUUGAAUCAUUACUUAAAUGAGUGAAACAAUGUAUAGUUAGGAUACUAACAUUGUUAUAAUUAGCUAUAGAUAAGUUAGUUACUAACAAAACGUAGUUAGAUACUUAGAUUUAGUUUAAGUAUAGAAAUCUAGUUAGAAGAAUUUUGAAGACAGGGAUUAGUUAGGUAGGAUUAAGUAGAUAAGAAAAUUAGAUACUGACUUGUACUACAUCACAUAUUAUACAAUGCAAAUAACAUGACAUCACAUAUCAAACAAAAUUGUAAAUACAUAUGUAAAUAUAUGUAAAUAGUGUGUGUAAUAG